rnacentral:rRNA from 1 species
CCCAAUUGCGGCAGCCUACACAUGCAGUCGAGCGGCAGCACGAGAAGAAGCUUGCUUCCUUUGGCGCUGGACGAGCGGCGGACGGGUGAGUAAAGUCUGGGAAACUGCCUGAUGGCGGGGGAUAACUACUGGAAACGGUAGCUAAUACCGCAUAAUGUCUUCGGACCAAAGAGGGGGACCUUCGGGCCUCUCGCCAUCGGAUGUGCCCAGAUGGGAUUAGCUGGUAGGUGGGGUAAUGGCUCACCUAGGCGACGAUCCCUAGCUGGUCUGAGAGGAUGACCAGCCACACUGGAACUGAGACACGGUCCAGACUCCUACGGGAGGCAGCAGUGGGGAAUAUUGCACAAUGGGGGAAACCCUGAUGCAGCCAUGCCGCGUGUGUGAAGAAGGCCUUCGGGUUGUAAAGCACUUUCAGCGGGGAGGAAGGGGACAAAGUUAAUACCUUUGUUCAUUGACGUUACCCGCAGAAGAAGCACCGGCUAACUCCGUGCCAGCAGCCGCGGUAAUACGGAGGGUGCAAGCGUUAAUCGGAAUGACUGGGCGUAAAGCGCACGCAGGCGGUCUGUUAAGUUGGAUGUGAAAUCCCCGGGCUUAACCUGGGAACUGCAUUCAAAACUGACAGGCUAGAGUCUCGUAGAGGGGGGUAGAAUUCCAGGUGUAGCGGUGAAAUGCGUAGAGAUCUGGAGGAAUACCGGUGGCGAAGGCGGCCCCCUGGACGAAGACUGACGCUCAGGUGCGAAAGCGUGGGGAGCAAACAGGAUUAGAUACCCUGGUAGUCCACGCUGUAAACGAUGUCGACUUGGAGGUUGCGGUCUAGAACUGUGGCUUCCGGAGCUAACGCGUUAAGUCGACCGCCUGGGGAGUACGGCCGCAAGGUUAAAACUCAAAUGAAUUGACGGGGGCCCGCACAAGCGGUGGAGCAUGUGGUUUAAUUCGAUGCAACGCGAAGAACCUUACCUACUCUUGACAUCCUCAGAAGAGACUGGAGACGGUUUUGUGCCUUCAGGAACUGAGAGACAGUGCUGCAUGGCUGUCGUCAGCUCGUGUUGUGAAAUGUUGGGUUAAGUCCCGCAACGAGCGCAACCCUUAUCUUUGUUGCAGCACUACGGUGGGACUCAAGAGACUGCCGGUGAUAAACCGAGGAAGGUGGGGGAUGACGUCAGUCCAUCAUGGCCUUACGAGAUAGGCUUA